rnacentral:rRNA from 1 species
GAUGAACGCUGGCGGCGUGCCUAAUACAUGCAAGUCGAGCGAACAGACGAGGAGCUUGCUCCUCUGACGUUAGCGGCGGACGGGUGAGUAACACGUGGAUAACCUACCUAUAAGACUGGGAUAACUUCGGGAAACCGGAGCUAAUACCGGAUAAUAUAUUGAACCGCAUGGUUCAAUAGUGAAAGACGGUUUUGCUGUCACUUAUAGAUGGAUCCGCGCCGCAUUAGCUAGUUGGUAAGGUAACGGCUUACCAAGGCAACGAUGCGUAGCCGACCUGAGAGGGUGAUCGGCCACACUAGAACUGAGACACGGUCCAGACUCCUACGGGAGGCAGCAGUAGGGAAUCUUCCGCAAUGGGCGAAAGCCUGACGGAGCAACGCCGAGUGAGUGAUGAAGGUCUUCGGAUCGUAAAACUCUGUUAUUAGGGAAGAACAAAUGUGUAAGUAACUAUGCACGUCUUGACGGUACCUAAUCAGAAAGCCACGGCUAACUACGUG